GUGUCAGCAGCCGCGGUAAUACGGAGGAGGCAAGCGUUAUCCGGAAUUAUUGGGCGUAAAGCGUCCGCAGGUGGCUCGCUCAAGUCUGCUGUCAAAGACCGGGGCUUAACUCCGGAAAGGCAGUGGAAACUGACAAGCUAGAGGGCUCUAGGGGUAGAGGGAAUUCCCGGUGUAGCGGUGAAAUGCGUAGAGAUCGGGAAGAACAUCGGUGGCGAAAGCGCUCUACUGGAGAGCAACUGACACUCAGGGACGAAAGCUAGGGGAGCGAAUGGGAUUAGAUACCCCAGUAGUCCUAGCCGUAAACGAUGGAUACUAGGCGUUUCUCGUAUCGACCCGAGGAGUGCCGGAGCCAACGCGUUAAGUAUCCCGCCUGGGGAGUACGCACGCAAGUGUGAAACUUAAAUGAAUUGACGGGG
rnacentral:rRNA from 1 species